GACGAACGCUGGCGGCGUGCCUAACACAUGCAAGUCGAGCGAACAGACGCGGUCCUUUUUCCUCUGUCUUUAGCGGCGGCCGGGUGAGUAACACCUGGAUAACCUACUUCUCCCAUUGGGUUGACAUCGGCAAACCGGAGCUAAUACCGGAUAAUAUUUUGAACCUCUUGCUUCAAUAGUGUAAGACGGUUUUUCUUUCACUUAUGGAUGGACCCGCGCCGCAUUAGCUAGUUGGUAGGGUAACGGCUUACCAAGGCAACGAUGCGUAGCCGACCUGAGAGGGUGAUGGGCCACACUGGAGCUGAGGCGCGGCGCAGAAGCCUACGGGAGGCAGCAGUAGGGAGUAUUCCGGAAUGGGCGAAGGCCUGACGGAGCAACGCCGCGGGAGGAAUGAAGGUCUCCGGAUCGUAAAACUCUGUUAUUGGGGAAGAACAAAUGUGGAAGUGACUGUGCGCGUGUUGACGGUACCUAGUCAGGAAGCCCCGGCUAACUACGUG
rnacentral:rRNA from 1 species